GAUGGUUGAGGUCAGUGGUAGAUCAUGUGCUUAGCAUGCAUGAGUUUCUGGGUUCAAUCCCCAGUACCUCCA
rnacentral:tRNA from 1 species